CCUACGGGAGGCAGCAGUGAGGAAUAUUGGUCAAUGGGCGAGAGCCUGAACCAGCCAAGUAGCGUGAAGGAUGAAUGCCCUACGGGUUGUAAACUUCUUUUAUAAAGGAAUAAAGUGAGGCACGUGUGCCGUUGUGUAUGUACGUUAUGAACAAGGAAAGGAUAACUCCGUGCCAGCAGCCGCGGUAAUACUGAGGAUCCGAGCGUUAUCCGGAUUUAUUGGGUUUAAAGGGAGCGUAGGUGGGUUGUUAAGUCAGUUGUGAAAGUUUGCGGCUCAACCUUAGAAUUGCACUUUAUACUGGCAGCCUUGAGUACAUUAGAGGUAGGCGGAAUUCGUGGUGUAGCGGUGAAAUGCUUAGAUAUCACGAAGAACUCCGAUGGCGAAGGCAGCUUACUAACCUGCCACUGACAUUGAUGCUCGAAAGUGUGGGUAUCAAACAGGAUUAGAUACCCCUGUAGUC
rnacentral:rRNA from 1 species